rnacentral:tRNA from 1 species
AGGGGUUUAGGAUAACAUAAGUCCAAGGGCCUUCAAAGCCCUCAGUGAGAGUGUAAAUCUCCCAGCCCCUG